GACGAACGCUGGCGGCGUGCUUAACACAUGCAAGUCGAACGGAAAGGCCCUGCUUUUGUGGGGUGCUCGAGUGGCGAACGGGUGAGUAACACGUGAGUAACCUGCCCUUGACUUUGGGAUAACUUCAGGAAACUGGGGCUAAUACCGGAUAGGAGCUCCUGCUGCAUGGUGGGGGUUGGAAAGUUUCGGCGGUUGGGGAUGGACUCGCGGCUUAUCAGCUUGUUGGUGGGGUAGUGGCUUACCAAGGCUUUGACGGGUAGCCGGCCUGAGAGGGUGACCGGCCACAUUGGGACUGAGAUACGGCCCAGACUCCUACGGGAGGCAGCAGUGGGGAAAAUUGCACAAUGGGCGGAAGCCUGAUGCAGCAACGCCGCGUGCGGGAUGACGGCCUUCGGGUGGUAAACCGCUUUCGCCUGUGACGAAGCGUGAGUGACGGUAAUGGGUAAAGAAGCACCGGCUAACUACGUG
rnacentral:rRNA from 1 species